GAGGAAAAGAAACUAACAAGGAUUCCCCUAGUAACGGCGAGUGAAGCGGGAAGAGCUCAAAUUUGAAAUCUGGCAGUCUUCGAUUGUCCGAGUUGUAAUCUAUAGAGGCGUUUUCCGUGCCGGACCGUGUCCAAGUCUCCUGGAAAGGAGUAUCAAAGAGGGUGAUAAUCCCGUACUUAACACGACCACCGGUGCUCUGUGAUACGUCUUCUACGAGUCGAGUUGUUUGGGAAUGCAGCUCAAAAUGGGUGGUGAAUUCCAUCUAAAGCUAAAUAUUGGCGAGAGACCGAUAGCGAACAAGUACCGUGAGGGAAAGAUGAAAAGCACUUUGGAAAGAGAGUUAAACAGUACGUGAAAUUGUUGAAAGGGAAACGAUUGAAGUCAGUCGUGUUCUUUGGAUUCAGCCAGUUCUGCUGGUCUACUUCCUUGGAACGGGUCAACAUCAGUUUUGUCCGGUGGAUAAAGGUAGUAGGAAUGUGACUUCUCCGGAAGUGUUAUAGCCUAUUAUCACAUACACUGGGUGAGACUGAGGACUGCAGCUCGCCUUUAUGGCCGGUCUUCGGACACGUUCGAGCUUAGGAUGUUGACAUAAUGGCUUUAA
rnacentral:rRNA from 1 species